rnacentral:lncRNA from 1 species
GCAAUUGCUACAAAGGAAACCCAUACGGGUUCUUCGAAAGAAAAGCCUCAUAGUUGAAGAAAAAUUCGUCCUGGUCCGGGACCACCGCCUUUCCGCGGCAGCCGGUCUACCAUCUGAGCUAACCAGGCGGCUAGCAGAUGGCAGGGCGAACUCAAAUUUGUCGACAACACGAAGCAAAGGGAAGAGUUUGACGUAGUAGUUCUGCGGAAACCCGCAAGGUGAAGAGAAG